AGUGAACGCUGGCGGCGUGCCUAAUACAUGCAAGUCGAACGGAGUGGCGCACGGGUGAGUAAUGUAUAUCUAAUCUGCCCUCCACUAGAGGACAACAAUUGGAAACGACUGCUAAUACUCCAUAGUGUAGGAUGAGGCUAUAUUGUAUCAGCUAGUUGGUGAGGUAAUGGUUGACCAAGGCUAUGACGCAUAACUGGUGUGAGAGGAUGAUCCGUCAACCUGGAAGUGAGGCACGGGCCAGAAUCCUACGGGAGGGAGCAGUAGGGUAUAUCGCUCAAUGGGGGGAAAUCUGAAGCAGCAUCGCGGCGUGAAGGAUUACACUUUUCGGAGCGUAAAUUCCUUUUGUUAGGGAAACGUUACCUAACGAAUAAGCACCGGCUAACUCCGUGCCAGCAGCCGCGGUAAUAC
rnacentral:rRNA from 1 species